UCUAACAGCCCAUGAGCAAAAAGAAAAGAAUUCAAACCCAGGAAAGACGCCCCAAAAAGGCUCCUAGCCAGGCUAUCUCCCUGUCCCACGAAAGCCUUACUCCCAGGGACCGGUCCUCUGCCUCGCCUCCAAGACAGCUUCAUGGACUCAGAACUAGAGAGUGGCUGCAGAGCGAGACCGCGCAUCAUCUCUCUUCCUCCUCCAGAUUUGGUGUUUUCCCCCAAGGUGGCCGGCAGCACUGGCUCUCCACGUGGCAGGCGGAAUGGGACACAUCCAAACGCUCAAAGAGGCUACACACCCGGGCCAGUCACGCACCACCCCGGAGAUGACCAGGACAACGUGCCACCUAAGAGGCGCCCGCCCCCAUGGCCCCAGAGGUUCCUCAGUGGGCCCCAUGGUUGCCGCCAGGAAAAAGUGUGAGUCACCCAGGGGGCGGGGCUCGCCGGAGGCCGAAUGCCCAAGGAGCAAUUAACGCCGACAGCUCUCCCGCCGUCUGGUGUCCUGUGCCCCGGGCUGGGCCAGCAAACAAAGUCCGCAGCCCUUCCUCCCAGCCCGGGAGUCUCCAGGCCGUGGGAGCAAGGGGUAGGAGGAGCCAAAUCCGAGAGGGGGAAAAAGAAUCUACUUUCCAGUCGCUCCAGCCUUAAAUUCUCCCUGAGACUGCCAGAAAAGAUGCUAAUAAAAGACCAGUUGUGUGGCCA